ACGAACGCUGGCGGCGUGCUUAACACAUGCAAGUCGAACGGAAAGGCCCUGCUUUUGUGGGGUGCUCGCGUGGCGAACGGGUGAGUAACACGUGAGUAACCUGCCCUUGACUUUGGGAUAACUUCAGGAAACUGGGGCUAAUACCGGAUAGGAGCUCCUGCUGCAUGGUGGGGGUUGGAAAGUUUCGGCGGUUGGGGAUGGACUCGCGGCUUAUCAGCUUGUUGGUGGGGUAGUGGCUUACCAAGGCUUUGACGGGUAGCCGGCCUGAGAGGGUGACCGGCCACAUUGGGACUGAGAUACGGCCCGGACUCCUACGGGAGGCAGCAGUGGGGAAUAUUGCACAAUGGGCGGAAGCCUGAUGCAGCAACGCCGCGUGCGGGAUGACGGCCUUCGGGUUGUAAACCGCUUUCGCCUGUGACGAAGCGUGAGUGACGGUAAUGGGUAAAGAAGCACCGGCUAACUACGUG
rnacentral:rRNA from 1 species